rnacentral:rRNA from 1 species
UAAUACGUAGGGUGCGAGCGUUAAUCGGAAUUACUGGGCGUAAAGCGUGCGCAGGCGGUUUUGCAAGACAGAUGUGAAAUCCCCGGGCUUAACCUGGGAACUGCAUUUGUGACUGCAAGGCUAGAGUGUGUCAGAGGGAGGUGGAAUUCCGCGUGUAGCAGUGAAAUGCGUAGAGAUGCGGAGGAACACCGAUGGCGAAGGCAGCCUCCUGGGAUAACACUGACGCUCAUGCACGAAAGCGUGGGGAGCAAACAGGAUUAGAUACCCUGGUAGUCCACGCCCUAAACGAUGUCAACUAGUUGUCGGGGAUUAAUUUCCUUGGUAACGCAGCUAACGCGUGAAGUUGACCGCCUGGGGAGUACGGCCGCAAGGUUA